AUUAUUUUGGCAGAAUAGUGCAUUAAAUUUAGAAUUUAAUUAUAUAGUUUAUUCUAUAAAUAAUA
rnacentral:tRNA from 1 species